GAUGAACGCUGGCGGCGUGCCUAAUACAUGCAAGUCGAGCGAACGGACGAGAAGCUUGCUUCUCUGAUGUUAGCGGCGGACGGGUGAGUAACACGUGGAUAACCUACCUAUAAGACUGGGAUAACUUCGGGAAACCGUAGCUAAUACCGGAUAAUAUUUUGAACCGCAUGGUUCAAUAGUGAAAGACGGUCUUGCUGUCACUUAUAGAUGGAUCCGCGCUGCAUUAGCUAGUUGGUAAGGUAACGGCUUACCAAGGCAACGAUGCAUAGCCGACCUGAGAGGGUGAUCGGCCACACUGGAACUGAGACACGGUCCAGACUCCUACGGGAGGCAGCAGUAGGGAAUCUUCCGCAAAGGGCGAAAGCCUGACGGAGCAACGCCGCGUGAGUGAUGAAGGUCUUCGGAUCGUAAAACUCUGUUAUUAGGGAAGAACAUAUGUGUAAGUAACUGUGCACGUCUUGACGGUACCUAAUCAGAAAGCCACGGCUAACUACGUG
rnacentral:rRNA from 1 species